GAAGUUGUAGUUAAUGUGAAUGUG
rnacentral:siRNA from 1 species